rnacentral:rRNA from 1 species
CACAUGCAGUCGAGCGGCAGCGCGGGAGCAAUCCUGGCGGCGAGCGGCGAACGGGUGAGUAAUGCUUCGGAAUCUGCCCAGUAGUGGGGAAUAACCAGUCGAAAGACUGGCUAAUACCGCAUACGACCUAAGGGUGAAAGCAGGGGAUCGCAAGACCUUGCGCUAUUGGAUGAGCCGAAGUCGGAUUAGCUAGUUGGUGAGGUAACGGCUCACCAAGGCGACGAUCCGUAGCUGGUCUGAGAGGACGACCAGCCACACUGGGACUGAGACACGGCCCAGACUCCUACGGGAGGCAGCAGUGGGGAAUAUUGGACAAUGGGGGCAACCCUGAUCCAGCGACGCCGCGUGUGUGAAGAAGGCCUGCGGGUUGUAAAGCACUUUUAGUGGGGAGGAAAACACCUGACCUAAUACGUCAGGAAUUGACUUAACCCAAAGAAAAAGCACCGGCUAACUCUGUGCCAGCAGCCGCGGUAAUACAGAGGGUGCAAGCGUUAAUCGGAAUUACUGGGCGUAAAGCGUGCGUAGACGGUUGUUUAAGUCGGAUGUGAAAUCCCCGGGCUCAACCUGGGAAUUGCAUUCGAGACUGAUCAGCUAGGGUACGGAAGAGGGAAGCGGAAUUUCCGGUGUAGCGGUGAAAUGCGUAGAUAUCGGAAGGAACAUCAGUGGCGAAAGCGGCUUCCUGGUCCAGUACCGACGUUCA